rnacentral:rRNA from 1 species
CCCCAGGUCAAGCGGGACCACCCGCUAAAUUUAAUCAUAUCAAUAAGCGGAGGAGAAGAAACUUACAAGGAUUCCCCUAGUAACGGCGAACGAACCGGGAACAACCCAGCUUGGGAAUCAGACGGCUUUGAUGUCCGAAUUGUAGUCUGUAGAAGGGUCCUCAGCGACGGACCGGGCCCAAGUCCCUUGGAAAGGGGCGCCCGAGAGGGUGAGAGCCCCGUCGUGCUCGGACCCUGUCGCACCACGAGGCGUUGACGGCGAGUCGGGUUGUUUGGGAAUGAAACACAAAGCGGGCGGUAAAUUCCGUCCAAGGCUAAAUACUGGCGAUAAACCGAUAGCGAACAAGUACCGCGAGGGAAGGAUGAAAAUGACUUUGAAAAGAGAGUCAAAUAGUGCUUGAAAUUGUCGGGAGGGAAGCGGAUGGGGGACGGCGAUGUGCCCCGGUCGGAUGCCGAACAGUGAUGAGCCGGUCCGAUCGACUUGGGGUGCGGACCGAUGCAGAUUGAGGCGGCGUCCCAAGCCCGGGAUGUAGUCAUGCCCGUGGAGACGUCGUUGCCUCGAUCAUGGUGGGCAGCAUUCGCCUUACGGCGUGCCUCUGGCAAAAACGUGCUCCCGGCGUCAUCCUGUGGGUUCCCCAUUCGGCCCGUCUUGAAACACGGACCAAGGAGUCUGACAUGUGUGCGAGUCCACGGGCGAGUAAAACCCGUAAGUCACAAGGAAGAUUACUGGAGGGAUCCCCUUGUGGGUUGCACCGCUGACCAACCUAGAUCUUCUGUGAAGGGUUCGAGUGAGAGCAUACCUGUCGGGACCCGAAAGAUGGUGAACUAUGCUUGAGCGUGGCGAAGCCAGAGGACACUAUGGUGGAGUCUCCCGGUGAUACUGACGUGAAAAUCGUUCAUUUGACUUGGGUACAUGGGAGAAAGACUAAUCGAACCGUCUAGUAUCUGGUUCCCUCAGAAGUUUCCCUCAAGAUAGCUGGAGCCCUCGCGAGAGUUUUAUCGGGUAAAUCCAUUGAUUAGAGGCAUCAGGGGCGCAACGCCCUCAACCUAUUCUCAAACUUUAAAUAGGUAGGAUGGCGUGGCUACUCCAUUGAGACGCGCCACGGAAUCGAGAGCUCCAAGUGUGUCAUUUUUGGUAAGCAGAACUUGCGAUGCGGGAUGAACCGGAAGCCGGGUUACGGUGCCCUGCUAACCUAGAACCCACAAAGGGUGUUGGUCGAUUAAGACAACAAGACAGUGGUCAUGAAAGUCUAAAUCCGCUAAGGAGUGUGUAACAACUCACCUGCCGAAUCAACUAGCCCCGAAAAUGGAUGGCGCUGAAGCGCGCGACCCACACCCGACCGUCGGGGCAAUCGUUAGACCCCGAUGAGUAAGAGGGAGCGGCGGUGGAUGUGAACCUAGGCCGUGAGGCCGGGCGGAGCCCCCGUCGGUGCAGAUCUUUGUGGUAGUAGCAAAUAUUCAAAUGAGAACUUUGAAGGCCGAAGAGGGGACAGGUUCCAUAUGAACGACACUUGCACAUGUGUUAGUCAAUCCUAAGACACGGGAGAUGCCCGUCAAAGAGCAUGCAACACACGAUUGUGGCGGCUGACGGCAACGUUAGGGAGUCCGGAGACGUCGGAGGGGCCCUCGUAAAGAGUUAUCUUUCCUGUUUAACGGCUUUCCCACCCUGGAACAGUUCAGCCGGAGGUAGAGUUCAGCGGCCGGAAUAGCACCGCACGUCGCAUGGUGUCCGGUGCUCUCCGACGGCCCUUGAAAAUCUGGAGGACUGAGUGCCAUCCACGCUCAGUCGUACUCAUAACCGCAUCAUGUAUUCAAGGUGAACAUCUUCCGGUCGAUGGAACAAUGUAGGCAAGGGAAGUCGGCAAAAUGGAUCUGUAACCUCGGGAAAAGCAUUGGCGCUGAGGGCUGGGCACGAGGUCCCAGUCCUGAAUCCGUCGGCUUUCGGCGAACUUCUCGAGCUCCUCACGCGGCGAGAGCGGGUCGUCGCGUGCCGGCCGGGGGAUGGAUUGGGAACGACUCCUCACAGGGCCUUCCGCGUGCGUCGAACAGUCGACUCAGAAUUGGUGCGGAAAAGGGGAAUCCGACUUUUUAAUUAAAACAAAGCAUUGUGAUGGUCCCUGCGGAUGCUAAUGCAAUGUGAUUUCUGCCCAGUGCUCUGAAUGUCAAAGGGAAGAAAUUCAACCAAGCGCGGGUAAACCGUGGGAGUAACUAUGACUCUCUUAAGGUAGACAAAUGCCUCUUCAUCUAAUUAGUGACGCGCAUGAAUGGAUUAACGAGAUUCCCAUUGUCCCUGUCUACUAUCCAACGAAACCACAACCAAGUGAACGGGCUUGGCAGAAUCAGCGGGGAAAGAAGACCCUGUUGAGCUUGACUCUAGUCCGACUUUGUGAAAUGACUUGAGAGGUGUAGGAUAAGUUGAGCCAUCUUUGGCGGCGAAGGUGAAAUACCACUACUUUUAACGUUAUUUUACUUAUUCCGUGAAGCGGAAGCGAGGCAUCACCCCUCUUUUUAGAUCCAACGCUAGCUUGUUAUGCCGAUCCGAGCGUUAGACAUUGUCAGGUGGGGAGUUUUGCUGGGGUGGCACAUCUUUUAAAUGAUAACGCAAGUGUCCUAAGAUGAGCUCAACGAGAACAGAAAUCUCGUGUGGAACAAAAGGGUAAAAGCUCGCUUGAUUCCAGUACGAAUACGAACCGUGAAAGCAUGGCCUAUCGAUCCUUUAGACCUUCGGAAUUUGAAGCUAGAGGUGUCAGAAAAGUUACCACAGGGAUAACUUGCUUGUGGCAGCCAAUCCUUCAUAGCGAAGUUUCUUUUUGAUCCUUCGAUGUCGGCUUUUCCUAUCAUUGUGAUGCAGAAUUCAUCAGGUGUUGGAUUGUUCACCCACCAAUAGGAAAGGUGAGCUAGGUUUAGACCGUCGUGAGACAGGUUAGUUUUACCCUACUGAUGACAGUGUCGCGAUAGUAAUUCAACCUAGCUCGAGAGGAACCGAUGAUUCACACAAUUGGUCAUCGCGCUUGGUUGAAAAUCCAGUGGCGCGAAGCUACCGUGUGCAGGAUUAUGACUGAACGCCUCUAAGUCAGAAUCCAGGCUAAAGAAGCGGCGGAUGUGCCCGUCGCCCGAUUGCCGACCUGCAGUAGGGACCUUCGGGUCCCCAUAGGCACGUGAUGUAGGCGUAGCCCUCACGGCGGACGAGCUGCGCGGGCCACCCUGAAGUACUAUUACCACCGGG